GCCCUCUCAGGGUCACACCUGCAGAGUUCCCAGUACUCUACCAGUCUCAACUACAGGAGGGAUAGUCAGGCAGAGGCAUAUCCAUUCUAUUCCUAGUUUGGGCAGUGGCUAGCGAGUGGAAGGCAAUCUACUACACAU
rfam:Ornithorhynchus anatinus chromosome 7, whole genome shotgun sequence.